GGCCACUGAGGCCUCCCCGUUCGCCUCCCAGAGGCCGCCACUUUCUUCAGGGCUAUCAGAUGAAGGCAGCAACGAAAACACCACCACAAGACCAACUUCAGGCUGGAGCUGAUGAUGCCACACAGAAAAUAGACUCUACUUAGAAAUGAAACUCAACUAAAGGUAAAAGUUGUCAGGAACAUCUCCAAGAAAGCCAGAGUCAGCCUCUAAACUUUGCAUCAAGAACGCAAUGGCUUCCCUGAGGGCCCAGGGACGCGUGGCAGCUGUGAGGCAGCCCCUUCUCUGCUGUCAAGGAACUGGACACUUCUCCUGUCCCUUCCCACAAGGGGCUUCCUGGAGCUCCUGCAACCCCAGGCAUUAGUUCCGGUGCAGUUCUAGGAUCAGAUCAAUUCACUCGACAACAAGAGAAACAAAUGGAGAUUCCUACACAAAGACUUUCAAGCACAAAGAAAUCCUGCUGCCUGUAAAGCGGAGCUGCCUCAGCCCUUGAUGAACGACAGAAAAUACCACCUACUGCCAGACCUCAACGCCUCACAAAACUCUCACCCACCUACUGCUUUUAGCUCACAUUCCAGGAAUUCAGAUGAAGUGAAGUGCUCUCAUGGGGACCAGGCAUGGUUAUGCCAGUCCACUGCCCUGCAAGCCUCAAGGGAAGCCAACUGCCCUUCAGCAAGUCACACCUGCCUUGGUGGAGGCCUUGAUUGGAAGUGCCACACGCUACAUGUCCAGUCCUGAGCGGGAGAAUCGGUGUAGGGACGUUCUGGGGAUGCCAGCUGUGGCCAGAUCAGGUCCAGCUACAGAAGAAUAAUGAAGACGCCACCUGAGGGCUGGAAAAACAAAACCUCAAGUGUGAGGCAGCCAACCUGUUACCUCGAGGGACUGUUCCGCAGCACAGCGGGGCCAUGGGAACAGCAGCAGACACCCCGACCUCCUCGCUACCUGUGUGUGUAUUAACACCCCGGCCUCCUCGCUACCUGUGUGUGUAUUAACACCCCGGCCUCCUCGCUACCUGUGUGUGUAUUAACACCCCGGCCUCCUCACUACCUGUGUGUGUAUUAACACCCCGGCCUCCUCGCUACC
rnacentral:sRNA from 1 species